AAACCCCCCAGAGGUGGUGCAAGCACCUCCUCUGGACACCUGUGAGAACUUUUUGGAUGUUUAUCUCUCUGGGAUCCUCUGACCCCUGCUGACUUCCUGCCCCUUGGGCCGGGGGGCUGGACCCGAUGAUCUUACAAGGUCCCUUCCAGUCUUAAUGUCUAUGAAAGUAAAGGACAAAGGGGAAAAUAGUGACUAAUCUCAUAAGAAACCUUUUCAGUCCAAAGCAGGUGCAACUGUUUCCUGCAACCUCUGUUUUUGGGGUGGUUUUUUUUGUUUGUUUCCCCCUUCGCUACCCUGCUAGCUUAUAGUUCCUGUAUCUACAGAUUGAGUUGAACCGGAAGUAUGAGAACAUAACUUUAUGUAACAACUAUUUUGCAAAUGAGUUCGCUACAAUCAUCCCAUCCACUGUAGCCACUGUAACAGUUGUACUACCCUUGUAGACGUCCAGUUUCAUAGAGGAAAAAACUGUCUCCAGCCUAAACUAGACUUUUUUCUUGAUCAAAAACUCUAACCUAAUUUACUUAAUACAGAAAUUAUUUUCUUGGGAUACAAUGAGCCCACAAUCGGGCUGAGAUCCCAAACCUAGCAGAAAAAUUUAAAUUUUAAAUUACCACUGAAUGCUAAAAAGUCUAGAUGGCUACAUUUACCUUGCUUGCUUUUCAGCCUAUUGGAUUAUGGGAUGCAGACAUUAGGCAAGUGCCUUCCACAUCCUGGAAUUGGGAAAAGGAUUUGUGGAGGGGACAGCAAUUCUACUGAAACUUACUUAAAGGGCCUUCUCCUUCCUCAAACUUUUUUUUUCAGACUUAGUGCGUUUCUGUCCAUGUUUACAAAUCACAGUUGAGCAAUGCACUUAAUGCAAAUGGCUAUCAGAAGUAUCUUGUUGAAUAAGUUCCUUUCCAUGUAAGCAAUGAGACUUUGAGAUGUUUCAUGCUUUCUGGCAUAGGUUUGUUUUUGAUACACCUGCGUUGGUCACAACUUUUAAUUUUUAGAAACUUAUGACCUGCUUUAUUUUUUUGCACACUGAAUUUAAAAUAUGGAUUUAUGGGGCUUGAAAAACCAGAACAUUCUCCAGGUCUCAAAAAAAAAAAAAAAAUCUGAACUCAACCUUGCAAAGAGAAACCUGGGCAGCUGCCUUACUUGAAAAUAUGAUUGUGUUUAAUUUUGGAAGUUCCUAAAAGUGUGUUCUUAUUUUGUAAUCAACCUUCCUGUAUCUUAAUUUUUGCAAUUGCACAACUUCCCUGUCUUCAGCACUAUGUUCUCUCUCAUCCAAAAGCUGACUGCUGUUUUAACAACUGAAUGACUGCUGUUGUAGAUGUUGUAAAGUGUCUGUAAUUACAGACUGAUUUGCUUUAGAACAAGGAAUACAAACUGUGUGUGUAGCUGUUAAAACAGUGGAGCAUUUUCCUACUCGGGUGGGCAACAAUUUUAGGGUACAAGUUUUGCUUCUUUCUCCUUGUGUUUGAAGACGAUGGGAGGCUCGGGUUCAAAAAGUAACCCAACUUCAGCACGACCAUGGCUUCUGCCCAGCACGACGACUAGCACACCUACUCCAGCCAGCAUGACGACUAGCACACCUGCUGCAGUCCCAACAAUAGGAGCUAAAUGCUGUUCUGAUGAGUAAACACAACCUGUUUUUCUUCUGGGUUUUUUUCCAACGUGUUUUCUUCUGUUCUGCCUAGAUGUAAUUCUGCUGAAGUCCAUAGAAUUAAAUCAAGUCCGAGUCUCUGCUUUUCUAGCUCAAGUCUUUUCCUACUGCUGAGAAUUAAGUAGCUUAUCCUGUUUUCUCUUGCUUGUUCUCCAUAUAACUAUACCAGUUUGUAUUGCAGCUUGAAUAGGCAACGGUAAAGCUG